rnacentral:rRNA from 1 species
GUGGGGAAUAUUGGACAAUGGGGGGAACCCUGAUCCAGCCAUGCCGCGUGUGUGAAGAAGGCCUUUUGGUUGUAAAGCACUUUAAGCGAGGAGGAGGCUACCGAGAUUAAUACUCUUGGAUAGUGGACGUUACUCGCAGAAUAAGCACCGGCUAACUCUGUGCCAGCAGCCGCGGUAAUACAGAGGGUGCAAGCGUUAAUCGGAUUUACUGGGCGUAAAGCGCGCGUAGGUGGCCAAUUAAGUCAAAUGUGAAAUCCCCGGGCUUAACUUGGGAAUUGGAUUCGAUACUGGUUGGCUAGAGUAUGGGAGAGGAUGGUAGAAUUCCAGGUGUAGCGGUGAAAUGCGUAGAGAUCUGGAGGAAUACCGAUGGCGAAGGCAGCCAUCUGGCCUAAUACUGACACUGAGGUGCGAAAGCAUGGGGAGCAAACAGGAUUAGAAACCCUUGUAGUCC